AGAGUUUGAUCCUGGCUCAGGAUGAACGCUAGCUACAGGCUUAACACAUGCAAGUCGAGGGGCAGCGAUGAAGAAAGCUUGCUUUCUUCAGGCGGCGACCGGCGCACGGGUGAGUAACGCGUAUCGAACCUGCCUCAUACUCAGGAAUAGCCUUGCGAAAGUAAGAUUAAUGCCCGAUGUUAUUAGAGUAUCACAUGAUGUUCUAAUUAAAGAUUUAUCGGUAUGAGAUGGCGAUGCGUCCCAUUAGCUUGUUGGCGGGGUAACGGCCCACCAAGGCAUCGAUGGGUAGGGGUUCUGAGAGGAAGGUCCCCCACAUUGGAACUGAGACACGGUCCAAACUCCUACGGGAGGCAGCAGUGAGGAAUAUUGGUCAAUGGACGCAAGUCUGAACCAGCCAAGUAGCGUGCAGGAAGACGGCCCUCUGGGUUGUAAACUGCUUUUAGUUGGGAAUAAAGUGCACCACGUGUGGUGUUUUGUAUGUACCAUCAGAAAAAGGACCGGCUAAUUCCGUGCCAGCAGCCGCGGUAAUACGGAAGGUCCAGGCGUUAUCCGGAUUUAUUGGGUUUAAAGGGAGCGCAGGCGGACCUUUAAGUCAGCUGUGAAAUACGGCGGCUCAACCGUCGAACUGCAGUUGAUACUGGAGGUCUUGAGUGCACACAGGGAUACUGGAAUUCAUGGUGUAGCGGUGAAAUGCUCAGAUAUCAUGAAGAACUCCGAUCGCGAAGGCAGGUAUCCGGGGUGCAACUGACGCUGAGGCUCGAAAGUGCGGGUAUCAAACAGGAUUAGAUACCCUGGUAGUCCGCACAGUAAACGAUGAAUACUCGCGAUUUGCGAUACACAGUAAGUCGCCAAGCGAAAGCGUUAAGUAUUCCACCUGGGGAGUACGCCGGCAACGGUGAAACUCAAAGGAAUUGACGGGGGCCCG
rnacentral:rRNA from 1 species